GAUGAACGCUGGCGGCGUGCCUAAUACAUGCAAGUCGAGCGAACAGACGAGGAGCUUGCUCCUCUGACGUUAGCGGCGGACGGGUGAGUAACACGUGGAUAACCUACCUAUAAGACUGGGAUAACUUCGGGAAACCGGAGCUAAUACCGGAUAAUAUAUUGAACCGCAUGGUUCAAUAGUGAAAGACGGUUUUGCUGUCACUUAUAGUAGGAUCCGCGCCGCAUUAGCUAGUUGGUAAGGUAACGGCUUACCAAGGCGACGAUGCGUAGCCCACCUGAGAGGGUGAUCGGCCACACUGGAACUGAGACACGGUCCAGACUCCUACGGGAGGCAACAGUCGGGAAUCUUCCGCAAUGGGCGAAAGCCUGACGGAACAACGCCGCGUGAGUGAUGAAGGUCUUCGGAUCGUAAAACUCUGUUGUUAGGAAAGAACAAAUGUGUAAGUAACUAUGCACGUCAUGACGGUACCUAAUCAGAAAGCCACGGCUAACUACGUG
rnacentral:rRNA from 1 species